GCUGAUCCUAGAUCAUAAUGAACCAGAUUACAUGGAGAUACAACAGGUGUUUACUGCCAUCUAGUGGAAGAUACCAAUAUAACACUUUAUUAUCAGGGUGGGGAGGCGGCUGAGCUGAAACAGAACACAUAGUUGUAAAGUCUAGUUACAGCAGGUGUUUACUGCCAUCUAGUGGAAGAUACCAAUAUAACACUUUAUUAUCAGGGUGGGGAGGCGGCUGAGCUGAAACAGAACACAUAGUUGUAAAGUCUAGUUACAGCAGGUGUUUACUGCCAUCUAGUGGAAGAUACCAAUAUAACACUUUAUUAUCAGGGUGGGGAGGCGGCUGAGCUGAAACAGAAAGUAAAGUUGUUCUUUUGUUCAGGAUCCAUUUUGAGACGACAGAGCAGAAAACACUAUAUGGAGAUUAUUGAAAAAUAAAGGUUUCUCCAUCCUUUUGUUCUUACCAGCACUUACACACCUGAUUCAACUAAUCAUCACAUAUUUUAAGACAGUUUGAUAUUUGAGGCAUACAAAUGAACAUUCUCAAAUUAAAACCUUUUGGGUUUGUAGGCCUGUUAACAAUUAUUAAAGUCCUACAGUAACUCACAUCUUGGAGAA